GACGAACGCUGGCGGCGUGCCUAACACAUGCAAGUCGAACGGAAAGGCCCUGCUCUUGUGGGGUGCUCGAGUGGCGAACGGGUGAGUAACACGUGAGUAACCUGCCCUUGACUUUGGGAUAACUUCAGGAAACUGGGGCUAAUACCGGAUAGGAGCUCCUGCAGCAUGGUGGGGGUUGGAAAGUUUCGGCGGUUGGGGAUCGACUAGCGGCUUAUCAGCUUGUUGGUGGGGUAGUGGCUUACCAAGGCUUUGACGGGUAGCCGGCCUGGGAGGGUGACCGGCCACAUUGGGACUGAGGUACGGCCCAGACUCCUACGGGAGGCAGCAGUGGGGAAUAUUGCAUAAUGAGCGGAAGCCUGAUGCAGCAACGCCGCGUGCGGGAUGACGGCCUUCGGGUUGUAAACCGCUUUCGCCUGUGACGAAGCGUGAGUGACGGUAAUGGGUAAAGAAGCACCGGCUAACUACGUG
rnacentral:rRNA from 1 species